rnacentral:rRNA from 1 species
UACGUAGGGUGCAAGCGUUAAUCGGAAUUACUGGGCGUAAAGCGUGCGCAGGCGGUUUUUCAAGACAGAUGUGAAAUCCCCGGGCUUAACCUGGGAAUUGCGUUGGAGACUGCAAGGCUAGAAUCUGGCAGAGGGGGGUAGAAUUCCACGUGUAGCAGUGAAAUGCGUAGAGAUGUGGAGGAACACCGAUGGCGAAGGCAGCCCCCUGGGUCAAGAUUGACGCUCAUGCACGAAAGCGUGGGGAGCAAACAGG